rnacentral:rRNA from 1 species
UACGGAGGGUGCAAGCGUUAUCCGGAUUCACUGGGUUUAAAGGGUGCGUAGGUGGGCAGGUAAGUCAGUGGUGAAAUCUCCGGGCUUAACCCGGAAACUGCCAUUGAUACUACAGGUCUUGAAUUUUCUGGAGGUAAGCGGAAUAUGUCAUGUAGCGGUGAAAUGCUUAGAUAUGACAUAGAACACCAAUUGCGAAGGCAGCUUGCUACAGGGAUAUUGACACUGAGGCACGAAAGCGUGGGGAGCAAACAGG